GUGCCAGCCGCCGCGGUAAUACGGAGGGUGCAAGCGUUGUCCGGAUUUAUUGGGUUUAAAGGGUGCGUAGGCGGCUCUUUAAGUCAGUGGUGAAAGUCUGCGGCUCAACCGUAGGAUUGCCAUUGAUACUGAAGAGCUUGAGUAUAGUUGAGGUAGGCGGAAUUGACAGUGUAGCGGUGAAAUGCAUAGAUAUUGUCAAGAACACCGAUUGCGUAGGCAGCUUACUAAGCUAUAACUGACGCUGAGGCACGAAAGUGUGGGGAUCAAACAGGAUUAGAAACCCCAGUAGUCC
rnacentral:rRNA from 1 species